UUAAAGCAUUGGGCUGGUGACGGU
rnacentral:piRNA from 1 species